rnacentral:rRNA from 1 species
AUUGAACGCUGGCGGCAGGCCUAACACAUGCAAGUCGGGCGGAUGAAGGGAGCUUGCUCCUGGAUUCAGCGGCGGACGGGUGAGUAAUGUCUAGGAAUCUGCCUGGUAGUGGGGGAUAACGUCCGGAAACGGGCGCUAAUACCGCAUACGUCCUGAGGGAGAAAGUGGGGGAUCUUCGGACCUCACGCUAUCAGAUGAGCCUAGGUCGGAUUAGCUAGUUGGUGGGGUAAAGGCCUACCAAGGCGACGAUCCGUAACUGGUCUGAGAGGAUGAUCAGUCACACUGGAACUGAGACACGGUCCAGACUCCUACGGGAGGCAGCAGUGGGGAAUAUUGGACAAUGGGCGAAAGCCUGAUCCAGCCAUGCCGCGUGUGUGAAGAAGGUCUUCGGAUUGUAAAGCACUUUAAGUUGGGAGGAAGGGCAGUAAGUUAAUACCUUGCUGUUUUAACGUUACCAACAGAAUAAGCACCGGCUAACUUCGUG